UACGUAGGGGGCGAGCGUUGUCCGGAAUCAUUGGGCGUAAAGAGCGUGUAGGCGGCUUGGCAAGUCUGACGUGAAAGCCCGCGGCUCAACCGCGGAUUGUCGUUGGAAACUGCCUCGCUAGAGUCCGGAAGAGGAGAGCGGAAUUCCUGGUGUAGCGGUGGAAUGCGCAGAUAUCAGGAAGAACACCCGUGGCGAAGGCGGCUCUCUGGGACGGUACUGA
rnacentral:rRNA from 1 species